rnacentral:rRNA from 1 species
GACGGAGGAUGCAAGCGUUAUCCGGAAUUAUUGGGCGGAAAGCGUCCGUAGGUGGCAUUUCAAGUCUGCUGUCAAAGACCGGGGCUUAACCCCAGAAAGGCAGUGGAAACUGAAAAGCUAGAGAUAGGUAGGGGCAGAGGGAAUUCCCAGUGUAGCGGUGAAAUGCGUAGAGAUUGGGAAGAACACCGGUGGCGAAAGCGCUCUGCUGGGCCUUAUCUGACACUCAGGGACGAAAGCUAGGGGAGCGAAUGGG